rnacentral:rRNA from 1 species
GAUGAACGCUGGCGGCGUGCCUAAUACAUGCAAGUCGAGCGAACGGACGAGAAGCUUGCUUCGCUGAUGUUAGCGGCGGACGGGUGAGUAACACGUGGAUAACCGACCUAUAAGACUGAGAUAACGUCGGGAAACCGGAGCUAAUACCGGCUAAGAUUUUGAACCGCAUGGUUCAAAAGUGAAAGACGGUCUUGCUGUCACUUAGAGAUGGAUCCGCGCUGCAUUAGCUAGUUGGUAAGGUAACGGCUUACCAAGGCAACGAUGCGUAGCCGACCUGAGAGGGUGCUCGGCCACACUGGAACUGAGACACGGUCCCGACUCCUACGGGAGGCAGCAGUAGGGAAUCUUCCGCAAUGGGCGAAAGCCUGACGGAGCAACGCCGCGUGAGUGAUGAAGGUCUUCGGAUCGUAAAACUCUGUUAUUAGGGAAGAACAUAUGUGUAAGUAACUGUGCCCGUCUUGACGGUACCUAAUCAGAAAGCCACGGCUAACUACGUG